rnacentral:rRNA from 1 species
GUGGGGAAUUUUGGACAAUGGGCGCAAGCCUGAUCCAGCAAUGCCGCGUGCAGGAAGAAGGCCUUCGGGUUGUAAACUGCUUUUGUACGGAACGAAACGGUCCUGGCUAAUACCUGGGGCUAAUGACGGUACCGUAAGAAUAAGCACCGGCUAACUACGUGCCAGCAGCCGCGGUAAUACGUAGGGUGCGAGCGUUAAUCGGAAUUACUGGGCGUAAAGCGUGCGCAGGCGGUGCUGUAAGACAGGCGUGAAAUCCCCGGGCUCAACCUGGGAAUUGCGCUUGUGACUGCAGUGCUGGAGUGCGGCAGAGGGGGAUGGAAUUCCGCGUGUAGCAGUGAAAUGCGUAGAUAUGCGGAGGAACACCGAUGGCGAAGGCAAUCCCCUGGGCCUGCACUGACGCUCAUGCACGAAAGCGUGGGGAGCAAACAGGAUUAGAUACCCGAGUAGUCC